rnacentral:rRNA from 1 species
GCGUAACGCGUGAGCAACAUGCCCGUAUCAGGGGGGAUAAUCCAUGGAAACGUGGUCUAAUACCCCAUAGUAAUUAUGUAAGGCAUCUUAUAUAAUUUAAAGCUUGGUGGAUACGGAUUGGCUCGCGUGACAUUAGCUGGAUGGUAAGGUAACGGCUUACCAUGGCUACGAUGUCUAGGGGUUCUGAGAGGAAGGUCCCCCCACACUGGAACUGAGACACGGUCCAGACUCCUACGGGAGGCAGCAGUGAGGAAUAUUGGACAAUGGAUGGAAAUCUGAUCCAGCCAUGCCGCGUGCAGGGAAAAGGACGGCCCUAUGGGUUGUAAACUGCUUUUGUAUGGGAGCAAUAAGGGCUACGUGUAGUCCGAUGAGAGUACCAUACGAAUAAGCACCGGCUAACUCCGUGCCAGCAGCUGC